CCUACGGGGGGNYAGCCAGUAGGGAAUCUUCCGCAAUGGGCGAAAGCCUGACGGAGCAAUGCCGCGUGAGUGAUGAAGGUUUUCGGAUCGUAAAGCUCUGUUGCCAGGGAAGAACGCUUGGGAGAGUAACUGCUCUCAAGGUGACGGUACCUGAGAAGAAAGCCCCGGCUAACUACGUGCCAGCAGCCGCGGUAAUACGUAGGGGGCAAGCGUUGUCCGGAAUUAUUGGGCGUAAAGCGCGCGCAGGCGGUCAUUUAAGUCUGGUGUUUAAUCCCGGGGCUCAACCCCGGAUCGCACUGGAAACUGGGUGACUUGAGUGCAGAAGAGGAGAGUGGAAUUCCACGUGUAGCGGUGAAAUGCGUAGAUAUGUGGAGGAACACCAGUGGCGAAGGCGACUCUCUGGGCUGUAACUGACGCUGAGGCGCGAAAGCGUGGGGAGCAAACAGGAUUAGAUACCCC
rnacentral:rRNA from 1 species